rnacentral:rRNA from 1 species
UGGCUCAGAAUGAACGUUGGCGGCGUGGAUUAGACAUGCAAGUCGUGCGAGAGACCAAUUAGCUUGCUAAGAGGUGGACAGCGGCGAAAGGGAGAGUAACGCGUGGUUACGUGCCCCGAGGUCCAGGAUAGCGUUGGGAAACCGGCGGUAAUACUGGAUGAUAUCUUCGGAUCAAAGGUGUGAUUCCGCCUUGGGAUCGGACCGCGUACUAUUAGCUUGUUGGUGGGGUAAUGGCCUACCAAGGCUGUGAUGGUUACCGGGUGUGAGAGCAUGGCCCGGCUCACUGGGACUGAGACACUGCCCAGACACCUACGGGUGGCUGCAGUCGAGAAUCUUCGGCAAUGGACGAAAGUCUGACCGAGCGACGCCGCGUGCGGGAUGAAGGCCCUCGGGUUGUAAACCGCUGUCAGUUGGAAGGAAGGGCCUGUGCAGAGCAGGUCUUGACCGAUCUUCAGAGGAAGGACGGGCUAAGUUCGUGCCAGCAGCCGCGGUAAGACGAACCGUCCAAACGUUAUUCGGUAUCACUGGGCUUAAAGCGUGCGUAGGCGGCCUGGAAGGUGAGAUGUGAAAGCCCACGGCUCAACCGUGGAAUCGCGUUUCAAACCACCAGGCUUGAGGAAGACAGGGGUGUUGGGAACUUAUGGUGGAGCGGUGAAAUGCGUUGAUAUCAUAGGGAACACCGGUGGCGAAGGCGCAACACUGGGUCUUUUCUGACGCUGAGGCACGAAAGCUAGGGUAGCGAACGGGAUUAGAUACCCCGGUAGUCCUAGCCGUAAACGAUGUGCACUGGGUUGAGGGGACUUCCACAUCCUCUCGGCCGUAGCGAAAGCGUUAAGUGCUCCGNCUGGGGAGUAUGGUCGCAAGGCUGAAACUCCAACGAAUUGACGGGGGCUCACACAAAGCGGUGGAGGAUGUGGCUUAAUUCGACGAUACGCGAAGAACCUUAUCCUAGAUUUGACAUGCU